GAAGAGGGAUCUUAGACAGUGUUCUUAUGGCCAAUGAAGUUGUUGAGGAUUUAAGGAGAAGUGGGAGAAGAGGGUUGUGCCUAAAAGUGGACUUCGAAAAAGCAUAUGACUCGGUUAGAUGGGCGUUCUUAUAUGAUAUGCUAUCCAGGAUGGGGUUUCACAACCUCUGGAUCGCAUGGAUUAAAGGAUGUUUGGAAUCCGCCACUGUG
rnacentral:lncRNA from 1 species